rnacentral:rRNA from 1 species
GACGAACGCUGGCGGCGUGCUUAACACAUGCAAGUCGAACGGUGAAGCGCCUUCCUUUUUGGUGGGUGUGGAUGGGUGGCCAACUGGGGAAUAACACGAUAGUAACCUUCUCCCUCUUUCUGGAUAACCGCAUGAAAGUGUGGAUAAUACGGGAUAUUCUGAGCCUGUCGGUUGAUGGGUCUGGGAAAGUUUUGGUUUCGGUUGGGGAUGGGCUCGCGGUCUAUCAGCUUGUUGGUGGGGUGAUGGCCUACCAAGGCGGUGACGAGUAGCCGGCCUGAGAGGGUGGACGGUCACACUGGGAAUGCGACGCGGCCCAGACUCCUACAGGAGGCAGCAGGGAGGAUUAUUGCACGGUGGGCGGAAGCCUGAUGCAGCGCCGCCGCGGGAGGGAUGGAGGCCUGCGGGUUGUGAACCUCUUUCGGGAGUGAAGCAGGCCUGCCUCAUUUGUGGGUGGGUUGACGGUAGCUGGACAAGAAGCGCCGGCUAACUACGUG